CUACGGGACGCAGCAGUGAGGAAUAUUGGUCAAUGGACGAGAGUCUGAACCAGCCAAGUCGCGUGAAGGAAGAAGGUUCUAUGGAUUGUAAACUUCCUUUGUAAGGGAAUAAAAAGAGUUACGUGUAACUUAUUGUAUGUACUUUACGAAUAAGGAUCGGCUAACUCCGUGCCAGCAGCCGCGGUAAUACGGAGGAUCCAAGCGUUAUCCGGAUUUAUUGGGUUUAAAGGGUGCGUAGGCGGACCCUUAAGUCAGUGGUGAAAGUUUGCGGCUCAACCGUAAAAUUGCCAUUGAAACUGAGGGUCUUGAGUGUAAAUGAGGUAGGCGGAAUGUGUUGUGUAGCGGUGAAAUGCUUAGAUAUAACACAGAACACCAAUUGCGAAGGCAGCUUACUGGGAUACAACUGACGCUGAGGCACGAAAGCGUGGGGAUCAAACAGGAUUAGAUACCCCCGUAGUC
rnacentral:rRNA from 1 species